AUUGAACGCUGGCGGCAGGCCUAACACAUGCAAGUCGAACGGUAACAGGAAGAAGCUUGCUUCUUUGCUUACGAGUGGCGGACGUGUGAGAAAUGUCUGGGAAACUGCCUGAUGGAUGGGGUUAACUACUGGAAACGGUAGCUAAUACCGCAUAACGUCUCAACACCAAAGAGGGGGACCUUAGGGCCUCUUUCCAUCGGAUUUGCCCAGACGGGAUUAGCUAGUAGGUGGGGUAACGGCUCACCUAGGCGACGAUCCCUAGCUGGUCUGAGAGGAUGACCAGCCACACUGGAACUGAGACACGGUCCAGACUCCUACGGGAGGCAGCAGUGGGGAAUCUUGCGCAAUGGGCGCAAGCCUGACGCAGCAAUGCCGCGUGUAUGAAGAAGGCCUUCGGGUCGUAAAGUUCUUUCAGCGGGGAGGAAGGAAGUAAAGUUAAUAUAUUUGCUCAUUGACGUUACCCGAAGAAGAAGCCACGGCUAACUCCGUG
rnacentral:rRNA from 1 species